GGGGAAUUUUCCGCAAUGGGCGCAAGCCUGACGGAGCAAUACCGCGUGAGGGAGGAAGGCUUUUGGGUUGUAAACCUCUUUUCUCAAGGAAGAAGCCCUGACGGUACUUGAGGAAUCAGCAUCGGCUAACUCCGUGCCAGCAGCCGCGGUAAUACGGAGGAUGCAAGCGUUAUCCGGAAUUAUUGGGCGUAAAGCGUCCGCAGGUGGUGCAUCAAGUCGGCUGUCAAAGACUAGGGCUUAACCCUGGAGCGGCAGUGGAAACUGGUGGACUAGAGUACGGUAGGGGUAGAGGGAAUUCCCAGUGUAGCGGUGAAAUGCGUAGAGAUUGGGAAGAACACCAGUGGCGAAGGCGCUCUACUGGACCUGUACUGACACUCAGGGACGAAAGCUAGGGGAGCGAAAGGGAUUAGAUACCCCUGUAGUC
rnacentral:rRNA from 1 species